GCCUGUACACCGAACGUCGGCAGGCGAUCCGCGUCGGUCAAGCGAGGUGGUAUGGUUCCCUAGAGGCCGGUUCUUGUGCUGCCUACCCCUUCAGGGGAAGCGGGCCGGUUGAUGUAAGCCUCCAUCCGGCGCCCUCCAACGGGCGCAGGAGGACAACGUAGCACCCCCCGCGUUCCACCGAGCCCUAGCCGGUCGCGUGGCGCGCGGGGACGUGCGACGCUCUCGGACCCAGCGAACGCCGUGGGCGAGGACUCGCGUCCCAGUCCCGAUAGAAGCUCCCAUAUAACGCUGACGGCCGCUCCCGUCCCCCGACCGCCCCGCGGCGCGGGGCGAGGCGCGGCGUCGCGGAGGAAUGCUACCU
rnacentral:misc_RNA from 1 species